AUUGAACGCUGGCGGCAGGCCUAACACAUGCAAGUCGAACGGUAACAGGAAACAGCUUGCUGUUUCGCUGACGAGUGGCGGACGGGUGAGUAAUGUCUGGGAAACUGCCUGAUGGAGGGGGAUAACUACUGGAAACGGUAGCUAAUACCGCAUAACGUCGCAAGACCAAAGAGGGGGACCCUCGGGCCUCUUGCCAUCGGAUGUGCCCAGAUGGGAUUAGCUUGUUGGUGGGGUAACGGCUCACCAAGGCGACGAUCCCUAGCUGGUCUGAGAGGAUGACCAGCCACACUGGAACUGAGACACGGUCCAGACUCCUACGGGAGGCAGCAGUGGGGAAUAUUGGACAAUGGGCGCAAGCCUGAUGCAGCCAUGCCGCGUGUAUGAAGAAGGCCUUCGGGUUGUAAAGUACUUUCAGCGGGGAGGAAGGGAGUAAAGUUAAUACCUUUGCUCAUUGACGUUACCCGAAGAAGAAGCACCGGCUAACUCCGUG
rnacentral:rRNA from 1 species